UAGAGUUUGAUCCUGGCUCAGGACGAACGCUGGCGGCGUGCCUAAUACAUGCAAGUCGAACGCUUUUUCUUUCACCGGAGCUUGCUCCACCGAAAGAAAAAGAGUGGCGAACGGGUGAGUAACACGUGGGUAACCUGCCCAUCAGAAGGGGAUAACACUUGGAAACAGGUGCUAAUACCGUAUAACACUAUUUUCCGCAUGGAAGAAAGUUGAAAGGCGCUUUUGCGUCACUGAUGGAUGGACCCGCGGUGCAUUAGCUAGUUGGUGAGGUAACGGCUCACCAAGGCAACGAUGCAUAGCCGACCUGAGAGGGUGAUCGGCCACACUGGGACUGAGACACGGCCCAGACUCCUACGGGAGGCAGCAGUAGGGAAUCUUCGGCAAUGGACGAAAGUCUGACCGAGCAACGCCGCGUGAGUGAAGAAGGUUUUCGGAUCGUAAAACUCUGUUGUUAGAGAAGAACAAGGAUGAGAGUAAAAUGUUCAUCCCUUGACGGUAUCUAACCAGAAAGCCACGGCUAACUACGUGCCAGCAGCCGCGGUAAUACGUAGGUGGCAAGCGUUGUCCGGAUUUAUUGGGCGUAAAGCGAGCGCAGGCGGUUUCUUAAGUCUGAUGUGAAAGCCCCCGGCUCAACCGGGGAGGGUCAUUGGAAACUGGGAGACUUGAGUGCAGAAGAGGAGAGUGGAAUUCCAUGUGUAGCGGUGAAAUGCGUAGAUAUAUGGAGGAACACCAGUGGCGAAGGCGGCUCUCUGGUCUGUAACUGACGCUGAGGCUCGAAAGCGUGGGGAGCGAACAGGAUUAGAUACCCUGGUAGUCCACGCCGUAAACGAUGAGUGCUAAGUGUUGGAGGGUUUCCGCCCUUCAGUGCUGCAGCAAACGCAUAAGCACUCCGC
rnacentral:rRNA from 1 species